rnacentral:lncRNA from 1 species
CUGAAUCUCUGGCCUUCAGACCUGACCCUGUGAUAGAGGCUGCUAGGAAAAAGAGAGAAAUCAGUGCAAGCUGGAUGUUUGAGAAAUAAUUGAAAAGACAGAAGAAAACACUUGGAAAACCUGCCACUUGAUCCAGUAUAAGCACAGGACUGGCUUUUGUUUCAAAUCUAAUUUCAAAGCAGAAGAAACUGAUCACAGGGAACCACCAUUCAAG